AUUCCUUACUAUCUUUUCAGUCCUUAAAUUUACUUUAAUUCUCUGAAAGAAAAAGGUGAGAUUAGUGUGGCUAAUGUGAGAAGCGACCAGCCUGGAGAGCAUAAACCAAAGCUAUAGUGCUAUACAUCUUAAACAUUCAAGUCAAUUAACUAUUGUUAAUGUAUUACAUCCUAAUCUUAGCCAGUCCAAUUUAAAUAUUUCAACUUUGGGUAUAUGGUGGAGCUUGAAAAACUAAAGUCAACUUUUUGGACGGUACUAUAAUUUCAUCAUAAAUUAUUUACAUUUAGUAUUUUUUAUGUAGAUGCGAUUGACUUUAGCUCUUGAGUGCGUUAGACAGGCUAACUGGAUCCACCAAACAUGAUUUGUAAAAUUGUAAACAAUCAAACUGACCGUUUGGGAGUAAGAAUUAUAUUACAUAAAGGAUUAACUCUUCUUAAGUUAGAUUAGAAUUGCUCUCAACUCUUCUGUUUAUCUACCAAAGGUCAUAUUGUUCCCAUAAGUCUCUUUGAGACUUUACUUAUAAAAUACAAAUGACCACAGAAUUUUACUAAUUUAGAUAAAUAAUGAGUGGUAAAACCGGAAAUUUCUCUAAGUGUUAUUUACGAAAAAAUUGAAUGCAACCCAUUGUCAACAAUAUACUCAUUAUUCGAUAAAGUAUGGUUAUUGCUAUACUAGAGUCGACCAUGAAAUUUAUAAGGUUUGAAACAGUUAUAGUUUACUGAUCAGAUAAUCUAUAUGGAUGAUUUGAGAUUCGAAUGAUUCAUGCAUAUUAAAAUUUUACAUUUAAGAACCAAGACAAGUUCCUUGGUCUCAUUUUGGUAAGUAAAUCGUAGUUAUGAUCAUCGUUUUUUUUUUUCGCAAAGCAACUCUCAUUUGAUUUGUAAGCAGGACAAACCAAAUCUUAUACAACAAAGUUUUUGAACAACAUACUGCAAAAAGAAAAACAGACCAACCAAACAAAACAAAACAAUCCAAAUCAAAGCAGAUUCGAAACACACAUCAAUCAAAAGCUGUCCCAAAAAUGGAAAGGAAACCUGCACAAGGUAGAUUUCAAGAGUCAUUCGUAUUUAGUUGCCUGAUAUGCUCAAAUAGUUCACGAGUUUCAAUACUUCGUACUGAUAGUCCAAAGUUUUUUUUUUUUUGACUAAUUUGAUAGUCCAAAGUUACGAGCCUCUUCUUGCGAUAGUCUAACAUUCGAUGGAGGUUCCAUGAUGAUUUUCACGUUCUUGCAACUCCCUUCAACCAUUUUCAAAGCCUUUUUACUUAUUUCAAUAGAGUUGCUGAUAUCGAGCUCCCUAAGCUUAAGGCAGUUCGAAGCUAUCUUUGCCAUCGAUACAUCUGUAACAUCUAAGCAGUUCUUAAUCCAUAUAACUUCCAACUUAGGGAAGCUCGAAGCUAUCAUUGUUAAUAACAAUUUGUUAUCGAUGCAUCCGUAACACUUAAGCAGUUGCUAAUACAUAAAACCUCCAAACUAGGGCAUCUGCCAAAGAAAACCAUGCAACUUAAAAAUUGUUAAUUUAAUUUAAAAUAAUUGUCGGUUACACAGAUAAUAAAAAGCCACCACAUGUAGGAGAAAAGAUUGAAUACCAUAUGAAUCAGAUGAUAACAUUCCUAAAUUAGUAGUAUGCGUUAUGCUGCUAAUAUUAUAAAUAUAAUUUUUAUCGCUGGAAAAUUUUGUCAAACGCGAAAUUUAACAUGAUAAAACAUAUCCAAAGGAUCAAAACCAACACGAACACCUACCCUAAACAUUCAAAUGUAAUAUUAUACAACUAAAAAUAUUUGAUAAUAUGUUAAUAAUAUUAUGUGAAUGGUACUACCAAACACAUAUUAAUAAAAGAUGUUAUUAACUAAUUCAUAUGUUUACGGUGUUUUCAAUAUAUUAUUUUUUUAUCUAUAUAUGUAAAAAUCAUUUUCUAUUAUAUAAUAGUGAUAAUAUUAACUUUAAUUGUUUUCUUAAAUAAUUAAUGCUACAAAUAGUUAUGGUAUCUUAAUAUAUAAAGUUGACUUGUGUGAUGUGCACAACCUUCCAUCUCAUCAAGAAGGAAGGGGCGUUUUUCGACACUUAUCCGCUCCAGAGUAGAUCGGUGUGGCCCACGCUCCCUCCCCCUUCUCGCGCAUCGUGUUGUCCGAAUAUAUGGACAUCAGAUAAAUAAUGUUUGGGCUUAAGUAUAUUAAAAUAGGCCCAUAACAUUUUAAGGGUUAUUUGCCCCUGCGUCAUUCUUCUUCUCCCGUGCCUCCACCCUACAAGAGAAACCAUUGAAACCGUGAAGCCAAAACGUCCCAGAAUCAUAACUCUUACAUUUAAUCUGCGUUUUCCAUUCAAAGAUCCACUCUUCCUUCAUAAUGAUUUCGAUCUAUCUCUUCGUUCACCCUCAAACCGCCUCGGAAAUUGGAGCCCUAGCUUCACUUUUCACAAGAGUAGAGAAGAUGCACUGAAAAGCCUCCCUAUCUCUCAGACUACGUUAAACUCUUCAAUGCUUCAUUAAUUCAGCCUUCACCACCUUCGUUGCACAUAAAUACAAACCGUAUGAGAGACGAAGCAUAAUCCGUUUGCUUUUCCUAAUUCCGAGCUUCUGUUUAUUCUCAUUGAAACGUUCAACCAACGUUCAACCAUGGCGACUUUUCAAGUACAUUUCAUGGAGUUCACAUCAGACUACUUUGAUUUUGGAAGGGCCGUCAUGUGAAGAAAGGCGGGGAGCUGAUAGACAUUGAUAUAGUACUUAUUGAUCCGAAGGGGACGCUCAUCAACGCUGCUCUCGUCUUGGACCAAAUGAUAACUGCAGUUUCAUGGAUACAAAAAGGGGCUGCAAAGGCAAUGCCUGAAUCCUGAUGAUGCUAAGCCUCAUUCUAAGGAAAAGAUCAAUGAGCUGUCGAGAAUGGCACCCUCAAGAAAUGUUGAAUUCUUUUCCAUUUCCUGUUUCUACUGUCCAUUUUCUUAAAAUUACCCUUUGAUUUGUGGUUACAUGGAUAUCAUCUGCUAUCUCAGUGACAUGCAUGGACGAAGUUGAAAACGGGAUGGAGCGUGAAAUACAUAGUGGCGACGGUGCUCAUAACAAGGCUGUAGCCAAACCUUUUGGAAAACCAUGUUCCAAAAGCAAGUACAAUUCUAAACACUGUAAAUUGAUCAAUCUGAUCGUCAUUGUCUCUCAUUUAUCACAGUCAACUGAGUUUGAUUGUUCUCGUCAUUGUCUCUCAUUUAUAACAUUGUUGCCUUAAACGUAACCUAGGAGCCGGUUUGUUUGAUUUGAAAACAGGAACAUGUUCAUACUUUUUCCGAAGCUAAAGUGAUGUUUCAUCUCAACAAUUUCAUUAAUUGUUAGUGCUCUCUUAGUUUCAAUCUAAGAGAUUCAUCAUUUUCUAGCGACUCAAACUGUUUCUCAAUUCCCAUUUGUUAUAUGUUUGUGCCGUAGUCUCUUCUUAUUGAAUAUAUAUAACUUGGGCCAAGGUGUUUGUUCAGUAGUCUUAAGGUAAUGCUAACCUCAUACAAUGACUUCGUUUAUGUCACAAUGUUUUAUCUCUUUCUCUUUGGAUUCACUCACAAAAUUUUCCUCCAAUUGUUAUUUUACGGCUCAGAGGAAACUUAAACUCGUCUCAUGUAAAUAUACUUUCAUCCCUUACGUGGUUAGUAAACGACUGAAACAUAUCUGAAAAUUCUUUUUACUUUUGUCUUUUUAGCUCUAUAAUUUGUUACUUCCUUCUCUAGCUUGAAGACACUGAAAACUUAUGAUAAAUACUUAAUGGAAAGCUUCAUGUAUGGAACGGUGAGCACAGUUACUAGCUCUAGCUUCUACGUAUACUUACUAAGAGAUUUCGAGAGCAUUUCGAUCUUUAUCUAAAGAGCCAAACCUUUCUCUUUUCUUAGAUCAGGCUAAUCCAAGAAGGCUACAUGGAGAUUCUACCAGCCUCAGUCUAGGUUUGCUUUCUCAGUUCAGGCCCUACUGUUGUAAGGUUUAAUGGUCAUAAGGCUGCAUUACUCAUGCCAUGAAUAUAUACAGAGAAGCUUGUAAUUCACUCAAGUCUAACCAAGUAGAAGCUGAAAGUAGUCAGAAAAGUUAUUAACCCAUUGACCACAGCCAAACCACGUGUGAACAAUGAUGGUGUAGCCAACACGCUGAUCCAACACCAGUGGCGUCCAUCACUAUUUGUAGUUUGUCAGACACUUGGGAUCUUGCAGUUUCCACAACGAAUAAUCCAAAAGUUGAUUUUAGCAUGGCACAUCAGGUGCUUUAGCUGUGGAUGCUCACCAAGAAGAAUUAUAUCAGUUUUCAGUAAAGUGACUCUUGACAUUCAUGUUUAUUUUGUCUCCAUGCCCUCUUCAGUCCAUCCAUAAUAUGAUCUACUCAGGUUUAUCACCAUAUUUUUUAUCAACCCUCAGGUUUAUCUAUAUAAGUUUUUGAUUACUGUCA